GACGAACGCUGGCGGCGCGCCUCAUACAUGCAAGUCGAGCGUGAAACGGGACUUCGGUCCCGUGGAAAAGCGGCGAACGGGUGCGUAACACGUGAGCAACCUGCCCCGAAGACCGGGAUAACCCGAGGAAACUCGGGCUAAUACCGGAUGUCCUCCUCCGGCCGCAUGACUGGAAGAGGAAAGCUCCGACGCUUCGGGAUGGGCUCGCGGUCUAUCAGCUUGUUGGUGGGGUAACGGCCUACCAAGGCGACGACGGAUAGCUGGUCUGAGAGGACGAUCAGCCACACUGGGACUGAGACACGGCCCAGACUCCUACGGGAGGCAGCAGUAGGGAAUCUUGCGCAAUGUGGGAAACCCUGACGCAGCGACGCCGCGUGCGGGAUGAAGGCCUUCGGGUUGUAAACCGCUUUCAGCAGGGACGAAAUUGACGGUACCUGCAGAAGAAGGCCCGGCCAACUACGUGCCAGCAGCCGCGGUAACAC
rnacentral:rRNA from 1 species